GUGUCCUGCAGGUCGGGACAUUCACUUCAGCAGCACAUAUACUAAAAUUGGAACCAUACAGAGAAGAUUAGCAUGGCCCCUGCGCAAGGAUAAAAAUAAUCUUUUUAAAAAAUUUAACCAAUUUA
ensembl:snRNA U6 U6 spliceosomal RNA